rnacentral:rRNA from 1 species
UUUAUGGAGAGUUUGAUCCUGGCUCAGGAUGAACGCUGGCGGCGUGCCUAAUACAUGCAAGUCGAGCGAACAGACGAGGAGCUUGCUCCUUUGACGUUAGCGGCGGACGGGUGAGUAACACGUGGGUAACCUACCUAUAAGACUGGGAUAACUUCGGGAAACCGGAGCUAAUACCGGAUAAUAUUUUGAACCGCAUGGUUCAAAAGUGAAAGAUGGCU